rnacentral:rRNA from 1 species
AUUGAACGCUGGCGGCAGGCCUAACACAUGCAAGUCGAGCGGAUGAAGGGAGCUUGCUCCUGGAUUCAGCGGCGGACGGGUGAGUAAUGCCUAGGAAUCUGCCUGGUAGGGGGGGAUAACGUCCGGAAACGGGCGCUAAUACCGCAUACGUCCUGAGGGAGAAAGUGGGGGAUCUUCGGACCUCACGCUCUCAGAUGAGCCUAGGUCGGAUUAGCUAGUUGGUGGGGUAAAGGCCUACCAAGGCGACGAUCCGUAACUGGUCUGAGAGGAUGAUCAGUCACACUGGAACUGAGACACGGUCCAGACUCCUACGGGAGGCAGCAGUGGGGAAUAUUGGACAAUGGGCGAAAGCCUGAUCCAGCCAUGCCGCGUGUGUGAAGAAGGUCUUCGGAUUGUAAAGCACUUUAAGUUGGGAGGAAGGGCAGUAAGUUAAUACCUUGCUGUUUUGACGUUACCAACAGAAUAAGCACCGGCUAACUUCGUG